GUCUUCUAGAUAAACCUAUUAGAAGUCCGGCCUGCCCAGUGAGGAUUUAAACGGCCGCGGUAGCCUGACCGUGCUAAGGUAGCGCAAUCACUUGCCCUUUAAUUGGGGGCUAGUAUGAAUGGCCAGACAAGGGCUUAACUGUCUCAAAAACCCAACUGGAAAUUGACCUUUAGGUGCAGAGGCCUAAAUAUAAGUGAAAGACAAGAAGACCCUAUCGAGCUUUAAUUUUUAUUAUUCUACAUAAAUAAGAUAAAUUUUUAUUGGGGCAAUAAAGGAGCAACCAAAACCUCCUUUAACCUUAAUCGUUAAACAGAACCAUAAUAGAAACAUUUUUAAUGCACACAGGUAUAAGCUACCGUAGGGAUAACAGACUAAUUUUCCUUGAGAGUCCACAUUGACAGGAAAGUUUGGCACCUCGAUGUUGGCUUAAAAAAACAGUUAUUGAAGCAGCACUCUAACUUUGUAGGUUUGUUCAACCUUUAAAAUUUUA
rnacentral:rRNA from 1 species